UCAGCUAGACUGAUAUUAACUAAAAAAGCUGUGUGAAAAUAUCCUUAAAAAGUUGCCCCCAACUCACUCAAAGUCCAAAGUUGGAGCUGGAAAUACAAUGUCAUGGAGUUUGGAUAAGAACAGGUUUUCUCCAAGCUGAACUAUGACACAGAGAUUAGAGACUUCUAGAAACUUUACUUUUUCAAAGAAAAAACAUCACAUGAGAAAAAUGAGGCCUAGAAAAAUUAAAUGACUUAAGCUAACUAAUGGCAGGACUGAGACUAGAGUAUACUUUGUGUAAUUGGCUAUGGUCUUUUUUUUGUUUGUUUUUUUUGUUAUCACUUCAGAACGAGACAAACUUAAAGAAAGGAAACACAACCAAAACUCAGUGGUUGGAAAAGAGAUGGAUGUGAACGCCCACUUGUUUCUUACGUAUAAAGUUACCCCUCGCAGUGUUUUGGAGGAGAAAACGCUGGCUCUUCCCAACGUUGGUUACAUACACAAAGAUUCCAAAGACAAGACAAGUGCUUUGCAAACAAAGUAACUAGAACCAGCUCAGGCUUCCCCGCGCCGGGUCCUACGUUCCACGGUCAGAACCACCAACUGUAUCCCCCCGGGUAACAAGGUUUCCCCAAUCAAGCACCCUCGCCUCCAACCUGGGCCACCCCAGAUCUGACUAUCAGACGACAGAAGUCUGCGGACGCACGGAGAGCUGACCACCCCACGAGAGGGACCUACGCGCGGCCGCGCCCACUCACCCGCCGCUCCCCGGGAGACGGGAGACCAGCCCGGGGUCCAAGUCCUGGGCGUGGCAGACUCGCCCCUCUCCGGGCCCGGCUCCAGCUCACCUCGGCGCGGCCCGCCUGGGCGCCGCCAUCUUGACCACA